GUCAGUGGUUCCUGAGGAAGAUCUGUUCUGACUUGCUCAGCUGCAGCUUGAGGCUAUUGUUCCUAGUUCUGUCUGCUACAGCCAAAGAGAAAAGCCCAUCUCUCCAUCCUCUAAUUGUCAUUCAGCCUGUCCUCAUGAGUCUUGCCGGCCUGGCCCCCAUCACUUAUGUGCCUCUGCACAGAACUCUUUCCGAUAUUCCUAUAUACUACUUGAAGUGUGGGAUCCAAGAUUGUAUAUCUGCUGGUGGCCAAAAAUGAUCCCUGGUAUGCACCUGGAGGUUGGAGCUGGCACCUGGAGGGGGAAGGCAGCAGUCCUUCUUUUCAGCCUAAUGAUAAAGGCACAUCCCUAGGACAUGCUAAUCUUGGCUCUUUCUCCCACCUUUUUAAUUUACAUUUCCUACUUUCCAGUAAUUUGCUUCUCUGACCAAAAAGAGAAGAUUUUUAUCCCACCUGUAUGUCCGUGUAGCAGCUUUUUUUUUUUUUUUUUAAAUGCUUCUAAAGUUAUGUCUAUCCACACCCCAGGUGCACAGAACUUUCUGACUAGUGGAGCAAGGCUUUCUUACCGCUCCUUCCAGGUCACAAAGUGCUCCCAGAUAAUCCCACUCUAUGCAUUAAAUCAAUUGGAGUAAAAGAAUGUGUUCCUGUAUAUACUAAAAGCACAGGCACUCAUGACAUGAAAAAGACCCUCUACACACCUUAUGCCUUACCCUGGCCUGGCCUCUGGAAGAUCAGUUCUGCAAGUGACCCUGAAGGAGCCAUGAGGAUAUCUGGACUUUGAUCUUCACCACAUCUUUCACUAAUGAAGUCCUUGACUGUGGACCUAGCUAUGACAUAUCAGAAAAGGAAAUACCAAGUAUUUGGCUCAAAAGAAAAAUUGGGGCA